GAUCAAUCGUCUUGUCCUCAUAACAAGGUCUCUAGAUAAAAUAGCAGUGGCCAACACAAAAGGUUAAUGGCUUACUGAGCUUUUAUUUUUGAGGACAUUCUGACCUGUUUAAAACCAGACAAGUGGUGAUUAGCAGUGUACUUUCUGUGAUUCACAAAGCUUAGACAAUAAUGGAAACAGGCUAUUUGAGCAAUCAGUUAUCUAAAUGAAUCUAAAAGGUUUUGCUGUGAAGGUUAAUAUUCCAUGUUUUAUCUAACAUUUGCCUUGUACCCUCCGCCAAAAUUGGUUUAAUGUGCAGUUCUGAAACUGGAAUCUAAAGUGCAGAGGUUAUUGUGGAAAGCUCAAUCAUCUAGCUGCUACAUAAGUCUGAAUAUUUGUAAAGGUUUUAGAACCCAAAUGUUAGAUUUUAAGUUUAUCAUCCACCAUCUUUUAUGCAUAUCUUACCAGCUCUGAAUAGGGGUGAGAUAAGGAACAGAGAUCACAGACUCGAGCUGAGGACCCUAGAGAGACUAUCUCAUGCUCAGGUUUAAGAGAAAUUCAGGGGACUCAAUGUUGAUCUGUAUUCUGUUCAGGGGACAAAGUUACCCAAAGGGAAGCCAUAAACCCCAGGGCCUUAGCAGUUAAUCUCACUUCCACCUAGUUCAAUGGUGUGUUACGGUCCUCCCAAGAAAAAAUAACAGUAGGAUGUGUGUGUCUACAUGUAAGUAUGUGUAUACACAUACCUACAGGAUGCAUGAAGGAAAUACAUACAUACACACACACACACACACACACACAGAGAGAGAGAGAGAAGGAAGAGGUGGAAGAGUGAGGGAGAGAGAGGCAAAGAGGAAUGAGAGAGAGAGGAGAGAAAGGGAAAGAGAGGGAGGAGAGAGAAAAAAGAGGGAGAGUGAGGGGGAGAGAGAAAGAGGAGAGUAGAGAGGGAGAGAAAAGAGAGAGAAAAGUGGGGAGGGAGAAAAGGAGGAGGAGUAGAGAGGAGAGAGGCCAGAAGGGAGAUAAGCGGGGAGAGAGAGAAGAGAGAGAAGCAAGGAGAGGGAGAGAAAUUGGGGGACAAUAAAGAGAGAGAGAGAGAAAGGGAGGGAGGGAUACAGAGAGACAGAGCGAGAGAAGAGGCAGAUUUUAAAGCAUUGGCUCACAUGAUUGUAGGGGCUAGCAAAAUCAAAAUCUGCUGAGCAGGCUGGAGACCCAGGGAAGAGCUGAUCUUGCAACUUGAAUGUGAACUCAGGUUGAAGGCAGAUUUCCCUCUUCCUCUGGUAGACAUCACCCUUUUCUCUUAAGGCCCUCAACUGCCUGGAGGAAGCUCACCCACAUUAUGGAAGCUAUGGAAGAAAAGGACAGAAUUGUUACUGUUCUCUUUAGAUGGCUCUCCCUAGUCCCAUGUAGGUUUCGGUUUAUUCAUGAAGUUCAAUAAUCCUGAUACCUGUUAUGCUUGUUUUGGAGUGCCGUCAUCUUCUGGACAACAUCUAAUUGGAUGCUACCACCUUCUGGUCACUUUGUUCACCAUGACUAUUUGUUGGAUUCAAUAUUAUAUUUUUCAUGUCUAUCCUCUAUCACUGAUACAUUUUUAUUCAUAUUAUUUUCUUUCUUUCUUCACUUUAAAAUCUUUUCUGAUAUUAUUUCUUCCCUCACUUUAUUUUCUAAUUCUACCAAUACCUUUUCUUAUCUCAAUAUAGUGACUUAUUUAAUUUGGUAUUGAGUUGAUCUUCUUAAUUUUUUUUUGGUAUUAAGCAAUACAUUCUAAAUUUUUCUUCUGGUUCCUAGUGUAAAUCAUUUUCAGAAAUAUUGUUCUGUGUAUGUUUUUAGUAAUAUAUUAAUCUUCUUUGUUGUUGCAAAACAUUUACAACAGUCCCAUGCUGUGGUGUGUUUUUUAUUCUUUUUGGGAAAGUUCAUUCAAGGUUACUAUCUUUCAUUAAGUCUUUUUUGUUAAUCUGGGAAAUACCCGAAUCCAUUCCAUCUCCAUAUCUGGAUUAAAACCUGCAAUUUCACCACCAUCUUAUUCUGAAUUUUUUCCUUUUCCUUUCCUUCGGUGCUUUGAAAUAGCUCCAACUAUGCCAAAGAUAUUUUAAAAAUAAAUGACUUACUUCACAAAAAUACAGAUAUCUAUAUAUUUGUGGAAAAGGCUGAUUGGCUUAGGUAAAAUUGUUACUAAUUAUGCAAUUUGUACUAAAUGGAAUUUAAAAAUCAAUGGUAAAACCCAGGAAACUUGUAAAAGACCUUAGAUUUAGAAAUAUUUGCUUGAGGCAAUUCGCUAGGCUUCUGAGGGCGAAUAUUUCAAAUCAUGUUAUUGCUACUGCAGUCUCUCUUCAUCACCAUACUAAAGGUGUCUAUAAGCCAUUAUUUCUUAUCACAAAAGCUGCCAAUAUAAAAAUCAAAGCACAACAAAUAGCAAAACACACUGUGUCUCCUGCUGUAAAACCUGCUGUGGAUGCAGAUGUGUGUCCACUUUGAAGUGUCAAGAACUAACCAGAAAUUUUGAAAUGUUUGUGAAUAGAUGCUUAAUUUUACCUAAAACCAAAUAAGCAAUACUGUAGUUGAUUCGCUUAUAAAAGGUAACCUAUUAUUGGCUUACAACCAAUAAAUGAUUAUGUUAUAAAAGGUAAUCAUUCAUUGGAUUACAACCAAUAAAUGUUCUAAGAUAUACAAAAAGCAGACUUCCUAUCACAAAGGAAACUUUAUUAGAAAUCUCAUUCUAAGCUCCUAUUCUUAGAAUAUUAUGAUCACAACAAUGCAGAAUCAACAAAUACAAGUGGUUUUUUUUCUGAGUGUCUGAGUUUUUAUGUCUUCCAAAAAUAAGGUAUAAAUUCUAAAAACUGAAAUCUUUUCAUUGAUUUGCAAGUACUUAACAAUAAAAUGUUUGAAAGUGACUCUCAAACUUGUAUGGAGAGGAAGAGUAUUUACAUGCAAGGACAAAGAAGGAAACUAUAUAUAAGAAGAUGAAGUCAAAUAUACAGAAUGUGUUGGAAUUCACAAUCUGGGAUAAAAAUAACUGGCACCUUAGGUCACUAGAUAGUCUAUAGCCAGAGCAACUAGAACUGUAUGGACGUCAAGAGAAGACUCCUACCCCACAGACUCAACAGGAGCCAGAGGCAUCACUUUCACCAGCACUGCACAAGCACGCUGGUUGGUUUCCACACCUCUCUGCCAGCAACAACCGUAAAAACUGUUACCUGUCUGAUGAUAAAUAAAAUUAAAAUAGUAUGGAUUUUUUUAUUUUGAAUUUUCCUAACUACGAGUGGAUUUGAAUAUCUUAAUAUGUUUGGACUAUUGUACUUCUCUUACAUAGAAUGUCUACUUAUAAUCAUCUGCCUAUUUUUCUAUUGAGUUAUAUAACUUUCUAUAUAUUAAGACAUUAAUAUUCCUGUAUUAUCCCCAUUCGUCUCUGGGUUUCUGUUCAUGAUAGAGGUCUCCAUUGUGUGUGUGUAUAUGGACGUGUGUGUGUAUAAUGUGUGUGCAUUUGUGACUGUGUUGUGUGUGGAUGUGUAUGUGUACUCCCUUGGUUUUUCUUUUUUGCAGAGGGCUUUUUUAAUUUUCAUUUUGCUUUGUUUGUUUUUUCACUUCACUUUUUAUACUUAAACUGUUAAUAUUUCUGCAAUACUUUUUACAGAUAGUUUAACUGAAGAUCCACUUUUAUUGUUUUCUAGAUGGACGGUCAGUUGUAUUGGCACUAUUUCUCAAAUAAUUUUUUUUCACCAUGUUGUACUAUGAAGUUUACCUUAUGUUAUAUUCUCAAAAGUACUCAGAUGUGUUUCUAAAUUCUUGUUUAUAUUCCUUUUUAUUUUUCUAUUCUUAAACCAAAA
rnacentral:lncRNA from 1 species